UGGGGAAUAUUGGACAAUGGGCGCAAGCCUGAUCCAGCCAUGCCGCGUGAGUGACGAAGGUCUUCGGGUUGUAAAGCUCUUUUUACCAGGGACGAUAAUGACGGUACCUGGAGAAUAAGCCCCGGCAAACUUCGUGCCAGCAGCCGCGGUAAUACGAAGGGGGCUAGCGUUGUUCGGAAUUACUGGGCGUAAAGCGCACGUAGGCGGAUUGUUAAGUCAGAGGUGAAAUCCCGGAGCUCAACUUCGGAACUGCCUUUGAUACUGGCAAUCUCGAGUCCGGAAGAGGUUAGUGGAAUUCCCAGUGUAGAGGUGAAAUUCGUAGAUAUCGGGAGGAACACCUGUGGCGAAGGCGGCCACCUGGUUGGAUACUGACGCUGAGACGCGAAAGCGUGGGGAGCAAACAGGAUUAGAUACCCUUGUAGUCCCUGAGCGGGCUGGCAAGGCGCAU
rnacentral:rRNA from 1 species